rnacentral:rRNA from 1 species
CCUACGGGAGGCAGCAGUGAGGAAUAUUGGUCAAUGGUCGUAAGACUGAACCAGCCAAGUAGCGUGCAGGAUGACGGCCCUACGGGUUGUAAACUGCUUUUAUACGGGGAUAAAAUGAGUCACGUGUGCUGUUUUGUAGGUACUUCAUGAAUAAGGAUCGGCUAAUUCCGUGCCAGCAGCCGCGGUAAUACGGAGGGUCCGGGCGUUAUCCGGAUUUAUUGGGUUUAAAGGGAGCGUAGACGGUUUGUUAAGUGUGUGGUGAAAUGCCGUGGCGCAACCGUGGCAUUGCAGUGGGUACUGGCUUGCUUGAGGACACUGAAGGUAGGCGGAAUGCGUGGUGUAGCGGUGAAAUGCUUAGAUAUCACGAAGAACUCCGAUUGCGAAGGCAGCAUACGAAAGCGCUACUGACACUGAAGCUCGAAAGCGCGGGUAUCGAACAGGAUUAGAUACCCUGGUAGUC